rfam:Gossypium hirsutum cultivar TM-1 chromosome 16, whole genome shotgun sequence
AAACCAUGGAUCGAGCAUUUUCUGAUUAACUCAUUGAGUCGCUCCUAUGCUUCAUAUAAUGUUUCGUCUUCAAUUGCCAAAAGAACGUAAUAUCAUUCCUCAAUUU